CCGCCGUCACACCACGAAAGUCGUUUGCACCAGAAGUCGCUGAGCUAACCGCAAGGAGGCAAGCGCCCAAGGUGUGUGCGAUGAUUGGGGUG
rnacentral:rRNA from 1 species